AGGAAAACAAGUCAUCCAAUCGCCCACGCGCACCCGCCCUACCAGCCACGACCGACCCGCAAACCCUAGCCGCCUCGACCUCCGCCUCCGCUUCAGCAAUGGUCGGCGCCUUUGCGGCUCGACGGCGCUGCUGGAUACCCCUCCCGCGCGCUGGCCUGUGCUGCACCGCACAACCGGAAGCCCGGCGGCCGGCAGGACCAUGCAGGGGCAUGUCGUGGGUCGCCCCGGCCGGCAGAAGCUCACCCCCGCAUCCUUGCUCUGCAGCAAAUCUCGGUCUCGUCCACACUCGCAGUUACCCCCAUCAAAGGAUGAACUUUUCCAUGUGGUUGCUCUAACGGGGUUCUCCCCGUCGCUGCGAUUGCUGUCAGGUGUGACUCUCCAUGAAUGCACCGGCAGCAUCCUUGGGCCAGCCUCUGGUCAAGAGGAGAGAUCCAGAUGAACAUAUGUUAAGGCACAACAGGCUAACGAGAGGCAGUUGAUAGAUCACUAUGGAUCAAAGCAUCCCAGGGAGAAACCUCCAUGUCCAUCAAAUGCAGACUGACUGAUGCGAAGUGGAAGCGUGAGCUGUAGUUGACUGUUUCUGAGGGUGUUCAAUCUGCUCCAUACUUGGAUGACUCAGCUUCAGCUUUUCCCGUUGUAAUGUAUGCAUUUCCGUGUCCACUCAGAUUGUUCUAUUAUCUCUUUGAUAUGAAUUACUUGCAGAGAAAUUCUUGCAUGGCGUGAAAUACAACCAUGGGGUGUUCAAUUGCCAUCUUUGAUUAGGCUGGGGAUUCUUUUACAGGAUGCAGGUUUUGUACCAUAUGAUCAUUGAGUUGCAUAUGAAUAUAUGAUUUCCCCUUUUGACAUGGGCAUGUGCCAUGUAGUAUAACAUUUACAAAGAAUGACAUGGAAAUUGCAAGUAAAUGGUUACUCUACCCUAUUGCUUCUUUAGGACUGAGACAUGGUGAUAAGAAUCUAGAGAUGCGUACUCCUCUGUCACAAUAAGAUCAAGUCGCCUGUCAUAUUGUUGAUUCUUGUACAGAUUAAAUUGUGAGCAAUUAGGACACAUACCCUUCUUCUUGCCAUAUUGUUGAUUCUCUUACAGAUCCACCUCCCAUGUUGCCGGCAAGGGUCUGUAUGCAUUAGUGGUUUAGUAUGGUGUUCUAAAGAAGACCGCCCCACUUUGUGGCCACUGCAGCUGUUAAUAGGGAGGCCACCCAUCAGUGUCACUAAAUGCUGUGGCAAUAUCCUCUUCUUUUCUUCACUUCGGGGAUGGCCGCAGUUCUACCCCUGACGCCGCUGCACGUAAGCGGGAUGUAAUUGUCUCGUUGACUCUGCACUGUACUAGAAAUUUGGAGGCCAAGGCAAUCAACAAACGAUGUAUCUAACUACAGGCACUCGAUUUCAGAUGGACUCUGCGGGCUUAGAAUAAACCGAUGCAAAACAUUGUGUCCUUUGCUGUUAGCAGCUCGAAACAUUCCUGGCCACCGCGGGCAGGUCUGCACCAUGUGCAUACCGAGAAUCAAAGGCCUGAGCAUGGCCAUUCUUUUGUUGACCAUUCUGGUUUGUAUAAUUCUUUCACCUAUAAAUUCCGCAGUUCCUCCAAUACCCAAAACCUGCAAUUAAGAGGUGCAAAGAUAUUAUAAAGUGAAUAAUAGAGCAUUCAAACUAAAACAACUUUUUACAAACCUUUAUAUUGUCUUUGGGGAGGUAACGAUAAGGACAGCACUUCUGGGUUGUCCAUGUAGUCGUUUUUGUAAAGAACUUUUCAUUUUUUGAGGUAUUUAUGAUGCUGACAUGAAGCCUCAUGGGCAUUUGCACUUGUCUUCUCGCCAAGGUGGUAUGCAGCAAUUUGUCCAUUGGCAUAUCCAAAAUAGACCUUUUCAGAUGAAGAAUCUGCAAUAAAACGUUUUGAGAAGAUUAUACAAUAUGGAUAUGCAAAAGAUAUAGCUCUGAGUGCUGUUUUAACAUUUUACACACACCUUGUUGUCCCAUCCUUGGGUGCUCAUCUUCCUUCUAGCGUAGCAGCUUGGAGAACUAACUUUUGCUUUAUUUGAAAACCGCCCAUGCCCUUGACCCAGUUUCAGUUCAGGACCAGGGGGCUGCUCUGUAAAUAAACUCUCCACCUUCCCAUUGACAUUCAACAUAUGAAACAGACCGUCAUCCAUAGGUACAAAAGAAUCCUCAGGAGGAGGUGCACCUUUUCCAUGUUUCUUUUUGCAGUGUGUAUCCUUUUCCUUUCUAGCAAAUGACUCAUCACGUGCACGCCAUACAUCUGGCUGUUGCGCUUUUUCAUGACUGAAAAUACCAUCAUCGUAAGCAUCUAACUGUAGAAUCUUCACCAACUCAAGAACUUUCUCAAUAGAGUCCAUCCCUGGAAAAGCAAUGCCUUGGUCUAACUCUGGGAGCUCCAAUCCUUCGCGAAGACAGUGCAUGUACUUCAUGGCAUAUUCGCUCAGCUUGUUCCAGUUGCGCACGAGCUCAUUCAUCCAUGGAAUAAAAUAGUCGAGGCGCAUAGAAUUUGGGCUGGGAAUGUUCAUGUACAGUGCUUGAAAAACUAUCUCAAACCUUGGACCUUCUCCCAGAUAAACAACAAAAAGACCUACGAACUUGGGGUCUAUGCGCUCCCCACCCUCGAUUAUGGAGGUGAAUGCCUUUCUUAGGUAACGCAAACCUGUAAGCGACCCUCCAGGGUCACCAUUGCAUAUAUCAUGGUGGUUACCUCCAAAGGAAAGGACUGUGUGGUCCGAGCACUCUAUGUAGUUCUUCUGGUCACCGUCCGGUUUUAGCUCAUGCACCUUACCAUCAAUGCAGUAGGCUUUCACCCACCAGUAUCGACCUUGCUUAAUAAAUGUGAUUGUAUCUUUUUUAUACUUGACCACUGUGCAACACGUGCCCUUCUCUGGAGUGGUGAAGACGUGUUUUUUUCUGCGGAAGAGUCGAGUCACAUCCACUCGGAUGCCUUUCUUAUAGUUCCACCACCUCGCUGAUUGGACAUACUUCUUGUAGUUAGCCUGUACCACUUUAGGGGGGCCGCUAAUAUCCAAGAGCAGCACAUCCUAAAUAUGAAUCAGGAAUUAAAAAAAUAGAUCAGUCAAUGUACCCUAGCAGGAAAAAGGUGGACAAUGAACACUACAUCAUAUAUGCUGCUGUAUUUUUUGGUUGAGUAAUCAUAUGUGCUGCUGUUACUGUCAAAGAGCAAUAGCAAUUUGUUGUGGCAUAAAUUUGCGCAAAGUAUUCUCAAGAACUCCAUGAUUGUUUUUUCGCAGAGAGCGCUGGCUAUGUUUGAGUGCCAAGUCUUGUAGUAUCAGUGAAUGCAUUUAUAAUUUGGAGAGUCGGUGCUUACAACAGUAGUCCCAGGUUGGUUAAAUUGUAUAGCAUGAAGGUUAAGGUUAUUUGCAUAAAAAUAGAUUUGUCAAUAACCAUAUGGACUUUUUUUGACAGUACCAUAUGGAUGAGUUUGUCAUAAUGCCCGACCUUCAUUUUAGUGUGUUACAAUUCAUUCCUCUUUGAGAUGCAAAAUGUAGAAAGACAACUAAUUAUGUGCACGAUAUCCUAUACCUAUACAUUUUGAUUUUCUAUGCCAUGUUAGCAUUUGCUUAAUCAUGAACAAUCUUAGUGCAUAUGUUCCUUUCAGUCGAGACUCCAACUAACCUUUACUUUUGCUUAUUAUGCUUUUGAAUAUUAGAUAACUUUUACCAUUCUACGAUAUUUGAUAUGUGUUGGAGUAAUCAGUUUAGAAAAAAGUAGGAAUUUGGCUUUUACUUCUGCUAAUAUAAUAAUCAUAUUUUUGGUUUGUGGCGAAGACUCCAACUUACUAUUUUUUAUUUAUUUCUGAAAGUGUUUCCUUCUGAUUAUGUUUGCUGGAUAGAACAGAUUGUUCAAAGUGGUAACGUUUUCUGUUAGAGUUAAUGACCAGUUGGGUCCUUUUUUAAAACUAAGAAAGGUUUAAGACAGGGGCCCCCCUGUCCCCCAUUUUAUUCAAUAUUGCUAUUAAUUUCUUGCAAGAACUUGUAGAGCUAUUUCUCAAGGAGAGAUUAAAGGGGCAGUGCCUAAUUCAGUAGUAGGUCUAGCGAUGAUUUAACUGAGGCUGGAGAAAAAAAUGCUAGAAAUCUAAAAUCAAUUCUGAUUCUGUUUGAACAUUUAGCUGGUUUAAAAAUUACUUCUCGUAAGAGUGAUAUUUGUUGCUUUGGUGAAGCUGGGAAUGAUCUAGAAAGAUAUAAGGAGAUUUUUACUUGCAAUAUUGGAUCAUUGCCUCUUUAAAUAUUUAGGGAUUUCUGUAAAUACUGUUAAAUCUAGGAAUAAUGAUUGGAAUAAAGCUGAGAAUAUAACACGGAAAUCUAGCAAGGAAAUUUUCUAGACUAUGGUGGUAAAUUGAUUCUUACUUGACCCUGUCUGAGUAAUAUUCCCUUUAUGAUGUCAAUGAUUACUUUGCCCAUAGAGCCUUCUGAAUAAUUGAGUUUUUUAUGAGAAGGAUGUUGUGGCAGGAGGAUGACAGUUAGAUGGGCUGAUGUUUGUCCUAGGUGGCUUGGGGAUUGAAGACUUGCAAGUUAUGUACUGCCUCUAUCAAAAUAUGACAUUUUUGCAUUUCAAUUUGAACUGCAAAAACGUCUUAUAUUUUGGUAUGGAGGGAGUAUAUCUGUUGAUGGAUUUGGAUUAGAAACUCGAGAUGGUUUAUUGCAAGAGUUAAUUCAAAGAAAACACUGUAACAGGAAGUUGCUGAGUGACAUUUGCAUUGUUUUUCAUGGCUUGGUUAGUUGUAAAGAGUAUUUUGUAAGUAUUGUACUCCCUCUGUAAACUAAUAUAAGAGCAUUUAGAUCACUAUUUUAGUAUUCUAAACACUCUUAUAUUAGUUUAGAAAGCAAGAUUUUCA